AAGGCAGACGGCUCAGUAACGCGUAGUCAACCUACCCUAUGGACGGGGAUAACCUCGGGAAACUGAGAAUAAUACCCGAUAGAACAUUAUGCCUGGAAUGGUUUAUGUUUCAAAUAAUUUAUUGCCGUAGGAUGGGACUGCGGCCUAUCAGUUUGUUGGUGAGGUAAUGGCCCACCAAGACUAUUACAGGUACGGGCUCUGAGAGGAGUAGCCCGGAGAUGGGUACUGAGACACGGACCCAUGUUCUAUGGGGCGCAGCAGGCGAGAAAACUUUGCGGUGUGCGAAAGCACGACAAGGUUAAUCCGAGUGGUUUCUGCUAAAGGAACCUUUUGUCAGUCCUAGAAACACUGAUGAAUAAGGGGUGGGCAAGUUCUGGUGU
rnacentral:rRNA from 1 species